rnacentral:rRNA from 1 species
CGGGCGGCAGCACCAGUGAGGAAUAUUGCACAAUGGGGGGAACCCUGAUGCAGCAACGCCGCGUGGAGGAUGACGCAUUUCGGUGUGUAAACUCCUUUUAUAUGUCAAGAAAAUGACGGUAGCAUAUGAAUAAGCACCGGCUAACUCCGUGCCAGCAGCCGCGGUAAUACGGAGGGUGCAAGCGUUACUCGGAAUCACUGGGCGUAAAGGACGCGUAGGCGGGUUGGAAAGUCAGGUGUGAAAUCCUACAGCUUAACUGUAGAACUGCACUUGAAACUUCUAAUCUAGAGCAUGGGAGGGGGAGAUGGAAUUAGUGGUGUAGGGGUAAAAUCCGUAGAUAUCACUAGGAAUACCUAAAGCGAAGGCGAUCUCCUGGAACAUUACUGACGCUAAGGCGUGAAAGCGUGGGGAGCAAACAGGAUUAGAUACCCCAGUAGUC